ACGGAGGAUCCGAGCGUUAUCCGGAUUUACUGGGUUUAAAGGGUGCGUAGGCGGCUCCCUCAGUCAGCGGUGAAAUGUGUCGGCUCAACCGACAACCUGCCGUUGAUACUGGGGAGCUUGAGUUGGGUUGAGGCAGGCGGAAUGUGCGGUGUGGGGGUGAAAUAGACAAAUCUGGCGCGGAGCCACGAUUGCGUAGGAAGCUAACAGUAUUGAACCUGAGGGUGAGUCGCGUAAGUGUGGGGUUAUUGCCG
rnacentral:rRNA from 1 species